rnacentral:rRNA from 1 species
UAUAUUCUGUAGCAAGGUUAACCGAAUAGGGGAGCCGAAGGGAAACCGAGUCUUAACUGGGCGUUAAGUUGCAGGGUAUAGACCCGAAACCCGGUGAUCUAGCCAUGGGCAGGUUGAAGGUUGGGUAACACUAACUGGAGGACCGAACCGACUAAUGUUGAAAAAUUAGCGGAUGACUUGUGGCUGGGGGUGAAAGGCCAAUCAAACCGGGAGAUAGCUGGUUCUCCCCGAAAGCUAUUUAGGUAGCGCCUCGUGAAUUCAUCUCCGGGGGUAGAGCACUGUUUCGGCAAGGGGGUCAUCCCGACUUACCAACCCGAUGCAAACUGCGAAUACCGGAGAAUGUUAUCACGGGAGACACACGGCGGGUGCUAACGUCCGUCGUGAAGAGGGAAACAACCCAGACCGCCAGCUAAGGUCCCAAAGUCAUGGUUAAGUGGGAAACGAUGUGGGAAGGCCCAGACAGCCAGGAUGUUGGCUUAGAAGCAGCCAUCAUUUAAAGAAAGCGUAAUAGCUCACUGGUCGAGUCGGCCUGCGCGGAAGAUGUAACGGGGCUAAACCAUGCAC